rnacentral:rRNA from 1 species
UACGAAGGGGGCUAGCGUUGCUCGGAAUCACUGGGCGUAAAGCGCACGUAGGCGGCUUUCUAAGUCAGGGGUGAAAUCCUGGAGCUCAACUCCAGAACUGCCUUUGAUACUGGAAAGCUUGAGUUCGGGAGAGGUGAGUGGAACUGCGAGUGUAGAGGUGAAAUUCGUAGAUAUUCGCAAGAACACCCGUGGCGAAGGCGGCUCACUGGCCCGAUACUGACGCUGAGGUGCGAAAGCGUGGGGAGCAAACAGG